GACGUAGGGGGCGAGCGUUGUUCGGAAUUACUGGGCGUAAAGAGCUCGUAGGCUGGAGGAUAAGUCUUGCAAUAAAACCCGCAGCUCAACUGCGGACAAUUGUGAGAUACUGUUUUACUUGAGAACAGGAGAGGGGAGCGGAAUUCCUAGUGUAGCGGUGAAAUGCGUAGAUAUUAGGAGGAACACCAGUGGCGAAGGCGGCUCUCUGGCCUGUUUCUGACGCUGAGGAGCGAAAGCUGGGGGAGCGAACGGG
rnacentral:rRNA from 1 species